UAUAGAAAAAAGAGAGUUGCAUGGCUAGAAACAACGUAGUCUUAGACUAUGUUCAUUGAAAUAUAGUCGAAAGAGUAUCCUUUUCAUAAGGAGUCCGUAAGUCGUCAUGGCCUUUAUAGAAUGGGCAACACGCGUGAUACUAGGAACUGAACAGAUACGAAAAACAUAAGUAAACCAGUUCAAUCAGAAAAUGGAUUGUAUCUUGCAAAUAGAUGCAUGAAAAAGGAAUAGCGAGUAAUCGAGAAUCAUCCACGUCUCGGUGAAGAGAAUAGUAACUUUUCUUAACAGUUACAACUACAAUACCGCCUCCGGUUUUAUAAUAUAAUUUAUUGUAGUUUGAGGUCUAUGGUGCACACAUUGCCCUUCGCUGGCUAAAAGCAUUAAUGCGUCGAAGGAGUAGCCAAAUGAGUUAUGCGGCUAUACCGAAUCGUAUUGAUGUAAUUGGCCAAAAGUAGUAACAAAGUUGGAGUAGGGGAACCUGCCCCAGAG
rnacentral:rRNA from 1 species